UUUCUCAUGUUACAUUCCUUCCUACUGAUCACUUCCUUGCUGGCUGUGUCCUUGUCGGCUUGGAUGCUUUUCUUGCUCACGCUGCUCUCUCCUGAAGGAAACUUAUCUAGGACCAUGACUUACUCACAUACUCUUUCAUAUCUUUAAUCAAAAUCUUGUAAAUGAAGUUUACUCUGGGUAUUCAAAACCAUUAAUGUUCCCUACACACUUAUCUUAUAGUUCUCAUUUCUACAGUUCAUGUUAAUAUUUAAAACUAAAACCUUUGCUUAUUUAACAUGGCUGUUUUUCUCUGAUGUGUUUGUCUUUGGCAGUCUCGCAGUGCUAAGUGAAAUUCUCCUGGGGUUCAAAGUAAAACAUGAAACACCUUCCUUUCAGGUACCAAUUUCAUCCAUGGCCAUUGGAGGGCUACAAGUGGUGCCCAAAUGAGAGGACUGAAAACGGGGUUGGUGUGGAGUGGGUGGAGCCCACUGAGAAACGCUGUCUUAGGUGGAGCUCCACAGAGAACAGAAAAAAGUUACAGUAUCCUGCAUGGGAUCGCUUUAUUCCCUGGGAUGUGCUGCUAUCUAACUCAGAUGCUUCUUGUUGGUACUGUUUACAUCAGAGAAAAGAAUAACACUGAAGCUUUGAAUCUAAAACUGUAGGAGAACUUAGCGGGAUUUGACCAAGAAGACUUUUAUGAGAUGUGCAGCAAAUCCCCACCGUGACAGGCGGCUUUGUUAUGAACACCUUCUUUAUAAACAGUCCUGGAAAUGCCCGGGUCACUUCUUCCAGAGUAGGUCACACAGCAUGGUAAUUCACUUUAUGUUGCUUCCCUUCUGGAGUUAAAAUUCCAUGUAAAGAAGAAAAUAGAUCCUAUGACAUCUGUACUCUUAAAACUGAUCUGUGUGCACUGGGGUUUUGUUUUGUUAUUUAUUUAUUUAUUUUUGGUUUUUUAGCUUGUUUUGUUUGCAAGAGGAGUAUGUAUUCUACAGGACUGUGACUAGCUAUUCUGAAUUUGGGUGGAGAGAAGCAUGUUCCAAUACGCCAUUCUUUCAGCAAACUUUUUUAUAACCAAAAUUAAAUAACUAUGUACAAAUUACAGAAGCUGACAGAAAAGUCUCUUACAUGUAGAAAUAUGGAUAAGAGUAGACACAGCAGGGGAUAAUAGGUGUGUAUGCUGAGUGCUUACAGCAGCUGGCCUGCCCUAGGCCACCCAACAAUCUUCCAGAUUCCCCCAUCACACCCUUCACUCCACCACCUACCCUGUGCUUAUGUUAAGACUCCCACUUUGCAACAAACUUAUCAGACAGGGCUUUUACACAGGUUGGGGAGGGCUUGGAUCACAGACAAAAGAAAGAGGGCAAGGGGGAUCUUUUUUGUUCAAGUUGGACAGAUUGCUAAUAUGCUUAGAACAAAAGGAAAUACGUGAUUGUAGUUUGUAAAAAAAAAAAACCAAAAAACCAAAACAACAAAACAUAAAAACAAAACCCAAUCCAUGCUAAAGUGGUUAGGGACAGGCAAGAUGAUCUUCGUAACCUCCAGUAGCCAGCCGCAUGCAGCACUCUUGCCCUGUUUCCCAUGGUUAGUUGCUGCCAGGCUGUUCAUACUUCUAAUGCCAUCCAC
ensembl:lncRNA